GAAACAAAUAUGUCCGCUGACCGUUCCAUGCGAAAACGUGGCUUCUUCUCACCAAACUGAUGGAAAAUAUGUUUUAAACCUGGCGUGAUGAGCUGUCAACAUGGUCAAUGUGCUGUCAACAUGUCUCUGAGCCGUCCCGAUGGAAGUGGUCAUGAGGGGUGAUACUUGGCUUUUACACAUCCAAAGAAUCCGACCCUGUCCUCUCUUGCGACGUCUGCACCCAACGUCUUCGGCAGCUCUACUCGACGUCAAUGAAUCCAAGCUUCUUUUCUCUGUAACAUUCGUCUUUCGUCUGUAUGAUGUUUUCAACUUACCAAUAAAAUAUUUUGAUUUAA